rnacentral:rRNA from 1 species
GACGUAGGGUGCGAGCGUUUGUCCGGAUUUAUUGGGCGUAAAGAGCUCGUAGGCGGUCUGUCGCGUCGGAUGUGAAAACCCAGGGCUCAACCCUGGGCCUGCAUUCGAUACGGGCAGACUAGAGUAUGGCAGGGGAGACUGGAAUUCCUGGUGUAGCGGUGAAAUGCGUAGAGAUCAGGAGGAACACCUGUGGUGUAGACAGCUUACUGGACGAUAACUGACGCUGAGGAGCGAAAGCGUGGGG